rnacentral:rRNA from 1 species
GAAGCUGGCGUCUUCGGCGUCCGCGUUGUAAUCUCGAGACGUGUUUUCCGUGCGGCUCUAUGGACAAGUCCCUUGGAACAGGGCAUCGUAGAGGGUGAAAAUCCCGUACUUGCCAUGGAAGUACCGUGCUUUGUGAUACACGUUCCAAGAGUCGAGUAGUUUGGGAUUGCUGCUCAAAGUGGGUGGUAGACUCCAUCUAAAGCUAAAUAUCGGGGAGAGACCGAUAGCGAACAAGUACCGUGAGGGAAAGAUGAAAAGCACUUUGGAAAGAGAGUUAAAAGUACGUGAAAUUGUCGAAAGGGAAGCACUUGAAGUCAGCCAUGCUGCUUGAGACUCAGCCUGGCUUUUGCUUGGUGUAUUUCUCGGUAGCAAGCCAGCAUUGGUUUGUGUCGUCGGAGAAGCGUAUGGGGAAUGUGGCAUCCUCGGAUGUGUUAUAGCCCUGUGCUGGAUACGACGACGCAGACCAAGGAACGCAGUGUGCCCUCUGGGC